CCUACGGGACGCAGCAGUGAGGAAUAUUGGUCGAUGGGCGCGAGCCUGAACCAGCCAAGUCGCGUGAGGGAAGACGGUCCUAUGGAUUGUAAACCUCUUUUGUCAGGGAGCAACGCCGGCUACGUGUAGCCGGACUGAGAGUACCUGAAGAAAAAGCAUCGGCUAACUCCGUGCCAGCAGCCGCGGUAAUACGGAGGAUGCGAGCGUUAUCCGGAUUUAUUGGGUUUAAAGGGUGCGUAGGCGGAAUGCCAAGUCAGCGGUAAAAUCGCGGGGCUCAACCUAGCUCCGCCGUUGAAACUGGCGUU
rnacentral:rRNA from 1 species